ensembl:lncRNA
CAUUUUCCUUGGCAGGGAGUUGAGGGAAUGUUUCCAGCUAGGUUAUGAUAUCUUCAUCGUGCACUGUUAUCAAGGCUUGCAUUUCCUGGUGUCAAGCCACAGAGCUGGAGAUACGCUGCUCUUUCUGCACCAGGGCUAUCCAGAGUUGUAUGCUACGUAUGUGCUGCUCCACAAAGCCCUUUGUUAUUGCUGCAGUCUUCUCCACUGGCUUUCAAAAUAUUCUCCAAACAGAGCAGUUUGGUGUGAAUGCAUUCUCCUUUGCUAGAAGAUUGAUUAUCAAGAAAUCAUGCCUGAAAGAUUUUUAAUUUACCUUCGACAUCUAGAGGGAACUGAUCUUCAG